rnacentral:rRNA from 1 species
UACGGAGGGUGCAAGCGUUAUCCGGAUUCACUGGGUUUAAAGGGUGCGUAGGUAGGCAGGUAAGUCAGUGGUGAAAUCUCUGGGCUUAACCCAGAAACUGCCGUUGAUACUAUCUGUCUUGAAUGUAGUGGAGGUGAGCGGAAUAUGUCAUGUAGCGGUGAAAUGCUUAGAUAUGACAUAGAACACCCAUUGCGAAGGCAGCUCGCUACACUAUUAUUGACACUGAGGCACGAAAGCGUGGGGAUCAAGCAGG